GUUGAACGCUGGCGGCAGGCCUAACACAUGCAAGUCGAGCGGAGCGGCGGACGGGUGCGUAAUGCCUAGGAAUCUGCCUGGUCGUGGGGGAUGAGGUCCGGAAACGGGCGCUAAUACCGCAUCCUAUCAGAUUCGCCUAGGCCGGAUUAGCUAGUUGGUGGGGUAAAGGCCUAACAAGGCGACGAUCCGUAACUGGUCUGAGAGGAUGAUCAGUCACACUGGAACUGAGACACGGUCCAGACUCCUACGGGAGGCAGCAGUGGGGAAUAUUGGACAAUGGGCGAAAGCCUGAUCCAGCCAUGCCGCGUGUGUGAAGAAGGUCUUCGGAUUGUAAAGCACUUUAAGUUGGGAGGCGUUACCAGCAGAAUAAGCACCGGCUAACUUCGUGCCAGCAGCCGCGGUAAUAC
rnacentral:rRNA from 1 species